UAUGACAGCGAGCUUGCUCGCGAUAGCGCUGGUUCAGUCACAGAUAUUCUGGAUGUACUGCCGCCAUCGCGAGCAAGCUCGCUCCCACA
rnacentral:misc_RNA from 1 species